rnacentral:rRNA from 1 species
UGGGGAAUAUUGGGCAAUGGAGGCAACUCUGACCCAGCAACGCCGCGUGAGCGAUGAAGGUCUUCGGAUUGUAAAGCUCUUUAAGUGGGGACGAAGAAAGUGACUGUACCCACAGAAUAAGCCUCGGCUAACUACGUGCCAGCAGCCGCGGUAAUACGUAGGAGGCAAGCGUUAUCCGGAAUGACUGGGCGUAAAGGGUGCGUAGGUGGUUCGGCAAGUUAGUAGCGUAAUUCCGGGGCUCAACCUCGGAACUACUACUAAAACUGUUGGGCUUGAGUGCAGGAGGGGCAUAUGGAAUUCCUAGUGUAGCGGUGGAAUGCGUAGAUAUUAGGAAGAACACCAGUGGCGAAGGCGAUAUGCUGGACUGUAACUGACACUGAGGCACGAAAGCGUGGGGAGCAAACAGGAUUAGAUACCC